UACGUAGGGGGCAAGCGUUGUCCGGAUUCAUUGGGCGUAAAGAGCUCGUAGGCGGUUCAGCAAGUCGGGUGUGAAACCUCCAGGCUCAACCUGGAGACGCCACCCGAUACUGCUGUGACUCGAGUCCGGUAGGGGACCACGGAAUUCCUGGUGUAGCGGUGAAAUGCGCAGAUAUCAGGAGGAACACCGGUGGCGAAGGCGGUGGUCUGGGCCGGAACUGACGCUGAGGAGCGAAAGCGUGGGGAGCGAACAGG
rnacentral:rRNA from 1 species